AGUUUACGUUGCGGUUAUCGAAUACUUUUCGAUCGAUUCAACCAUAACUGCUCGACAUCAUCACUAAUGGCGGUAAGCUCCAACGAGGAUAAUACGAGAAUCUCGCAUUAUCCUCGAUUUCAAUAAGCACCAAGCGGUAUUAUCCUUCAUUUUGAUACCGGUAUUAACUUUAAUACGCCGAUUUCGACGUAUUAAAGAUAAUCCGAGAUUUUCUAAUUAUGGCUGCGUGCGCAUGAAAUGAUUGCACACACACCAAUGCACAAAGAUAAACGUCAAACGAAAACGAAGUCAUAACAGAAACACAAAACAGCUGAAACAGUUCGGAGUCCUUGGACGUACUGGACAUACUGGAACACGAUCAGCCGGAUCAUGGAACAUCGGAACCACUAUCCACUAAGGAGGAACUUGCUGCUGCCGUCUGGCGUAAAAGGAUUUUUCCACAAAAAGAGGACAGCGACAAUGCGUCGGGGGUAUUUUGAUUCAUGAACGGAUGAUGGCCAAAAGGAUUGAGCGAGGUCCAGAAGGAAUAAUGGUUGGGGUGUCGAUGCGCGAUCCCGUACAGAGUAUCCACGGUAGUUUGAGUCGGGUAAUCAAACAUUUCUUCGCAUCUUGUGAAUGAAUCAUUCCUUGUAUUUAUAUGCAUGCUGUAUAUCGCAAAUAACUUAUAUUAGUAAUACAAUCUUAAUUCUUAAACUUAACUUAAAAA